CCUACGGGCGGCUGCAGUGGGGAAUAUUGCACAAUGGGCGCAAGCCUGAUGCAGCCAUGCCGCGUGUGUGAAGAAGGCCUUCGGGUUGUAAAGCACUUUCAGCGGGGAGGAAGGCGGUGAGGUUAAUAACCUCAUCGAUUGACGUUACCCGCAGAAGAAGCACCGGCUAACUCCGUGCCAGCAGCCGCGGUAAUACGGAGGGUGCAAGCGUUAAUCGGAAUUACUGGGCGUAAAGCGCACGCAGGCGGUCUGUCAAGUCGGAUGUGAAAUCCCCGGGCUCAACCUGGGAACUGCAUUCGAAACUGGCAGGCUAGAGUCUUGUAGAGGGGGGUAGAAUUCCAGGUGUAGCGGUGAAAUGCGUAGAGAUCUGGAGGAAUACCGGUGGCGAAGGCGGCCCCCUGGACAAAGACUGACGCGCAGGUGCGAAAGCGUGGGGAGCAAACAGGAUAGAUACCCGGGUAGUC
rnacentral:rRNA from 1 species